rnacentral:lncRNA from 1 species
AGGCACCGGAUCAACUACCAUCUUCAACAGUGUCAGAAUAUCCCCAUACUGAUCAACGAACCCCUUCAGAUGACUACUGGUCACAAAGUUACCCAACUCUAUCAGAGACGUCAAAGGCUCACGGUGAAAGCUGUAGGAACAAGUCUUCCGCUUCGGCUCUGGGACUGUUGCCAUCUCUAUCAGUGAACAAGCUCUGGAAUAUACCUGAGGAAUGAUAUGCAUGUAGGGAUUAGUUUUUU